UAUCCACAUCCGGAUUUACCUAAACCCCACCCAGGUUGCAACAUAGCAAUGAAAAACCGGUAUUUUCUACCCAUGAAUCACAUUC
rnacentral:sRNA from 1 species